UACGUAGGGUGCGAGCGUUAAUCGGAAUUACUGGGCGUAAAGCGUGCGCAGGCGGUUUUGUAAGACAGGUGUGAAAUCCCCGGGCUUAACCUGGGAACUGCGCUUGUGACUGCAAGACUUGAGUGCGGCAGAGGGGGGUGGAAUUCCACGUGUAGCAGUGAAAUGCGUAGAGAUGCGGAGGAACACCGAUGGCGAAGGCAGCCCCCUGGGCUGACACUGACGCUCAGGCACGAAAGCGUGGGGAGCAAAC
rnacentral:rRNA from 1 species